GAUUAAGCCAUGCAUGUCUAAGUAUAAGCAAUCUAUACGGUGAAACUGCGAAUGGCUCAUUAAAUCAGUUAUCGUUUAUUUGAUAGUACCUCACUACAUGGAUAACCGUGGUAAUUCUAGAGCUAAUACAUGCUAAAAACCUCGACUUCGGAAGGGGUGUAUUUAUUAGAUAAAAAACCAAUGCCCUCCGGGGCUCCUUGGUGAUUCAUAAUAACUCAACGAAUCGCAUGGCCUUGCGCCGGCGAUGGUUCAUUCAAAUUUCUGCCCUAUCAACUUUCGAUGGUAGGAUAGUGGCCUACCAUGGUUUCAACGGGUAACGGGGAAUUAGGGUUCUAUUCCGGAGAGGGAGCCUGAGAAACGGCUACCACAUCCAAGGAAGGCAGCAGGCGCGCAAAUUACCCAAUCCCGACACGGGGAGGUAGUGACAAUAAAUACUGAUGCGGAGCUCUUUAGGGUUUCGCAAUUGGAAUGAGUACAAUUUAAAUCCCUUAACGAGGAACAAUUGGAGGGCAAGUCUGGUGCCAGCAGCCGCGGUAAUUCCAGCUCCAAUAGCGUAUAUUAAAGUUGUUGCAGUUAAAAAGCUCGUAGUUGAACCUUGGGCCUGGCUGACCGGUCCGCCUCACCGCGUGCACUGGUUCGGCCGGGUCUUUCCUUCUGGGGAGCCGCAUGCCCUUCACUGGGUGUGCCGGGGAACCAGGACUUUUACUUUGAAAAAAUUAGAGUGUUCAAAGCAGGCCUAUGCUCGAAUACAUUAGCA
rnacentral:rRNA from 1 species